UGUUUUGUCAGGCUUUAUUGACUGGCUUCCUCUUUAUUCCGCAUCAGGGACCAAGGUGCUGAAAAAUGUGUUCGAACACCCCCGUCUUCCUAUUUCUACUUGUCAUGUUAAGAAUCAAGAAAGUUCAGGUUGAUUGUACAACUUUACUAUCUGAAUUGGCAUCGACUCUAGACAACGUGCCUGGGGGCCCUACCUAUAUUUUGUUUUCCCCUCUCUUCUUUUUUUUUUUAUCAUUAUUUAUUUUACUAAAUUUUAUUUUCAUUUGUCAUUUAUGUUGAGCUUUUUCAUUUUCUUCUUUACGUCUUGAAUAUAGUUUACUUUUCCCCUUCUUUGCAUUUAUUGCUCUUAGUUAGGCUUGUUUGUUUCCCUUUAUCUUCUCACAUUCUUGAUCUCUUAUGUUUAUUUAUUUAAGGUAGCAUUUAUGGUACUGAGUUAGUUAUAUUUACUCUUGUCCAUCCAUUUUUGUCUUUUCAUUCACAUUAUUUUCCCCUUUAAAAGAAUGUGUAUUCAUUUCUCUUGAUUGGGUGUUUAUUACUCUUCUUUUGUUUCUGUCAUUUAAUGAUGAUGAUCAUUCUCCCCCUUAUUCUUUUUUUUAUUAAAUGGUGAUCUUCUUUCCUCUUAUAGCAAAUGAUCCUCUUGGUUUGGUUACAUUUAUCCAUUUUCUUUGUUCCUCGUUCUUUAAAGCAUAGAUUAUCUCUCUUUACCUUGACCCUCAUUCUCUUCUCCAUUAAAUACUGAUCUCCUUUCCUUUUAUAGAAUGCAUUAUUAUUGAUUUGUUACAUUGAUGUCUCUUCUUGUUUUCCCUCUCUUGUUAAUAUAGAUCCCCUAUCCUUGCUUUGAUCUAUCAUCUUCUCUAUGUGUUAAUAGUAUUUUCAUGCCUUGCUUCACUCAUUUCUUUGUUGGUUUAUGUUAACUCUUCCUUUACUUUUCUUAUUUAUAUAAUAAUGCAUAUCUAUCUCAUCUCUCAUAUGUCUUAAAGUUAGGAUUAUUGGUUUUGUUUUUCUGUCUUAGUUAGGGGUUUCUUGUUUUCAUCUCUUCUUUUUCCUUGUACUUUAUAUUUUGAAUCUCUUCUCCUUCGUUCUUCUCACUUCCAAUCUCUUUUAUGUUUAUUUUAUCUUUUUCCUCAUAUUUUGUUCCAUAUAAUAGUCUUUCUUAGUUUCUUCCGGAUAUGCUUGUUUUUCUACCUUUUAGCUGGGUCUUUAUCAACCUCUCUCAUCUCCUAUCCUCUCUUAUAUUUUUUUCCCUUUUUUAUUUAGAUUUUGGUCAAUAGCUUAGUCUCACUCUUUCUCUUCUUGAUUAUUUAUCCUUCUUGACCUUCAUUAUCUUCUAUUAAGAAUUGACAUCUAUCCACCCUUCUCUUCCCCCAUUUAUGAACCAUCUCCUACUUCUCUUUAUCUCUUUCACCUUAACCUUCUUUCUCAUGUUUUUUUCUUUCAUCUCUUUCCUUUAUUUAUUCUUAUUACUACUAUUGCAUAUUAUGUAUUAGUAUCAGUCAUUCUUCAUUUUCCUUCCAUCUAUUUUAUUUCUCCUCAUGUUGUAUUUUUAUCUUUAUUCGAAUUUUAUACUAACACCUCUCUGUCUCGCCAAGGAGGAUCUCAUUCUCUUUCUCCUUCACAACCACGCUGGCAUCUCCAUGAUAUUAUCUUUCUCUUUCAUCUUAUGUUAUGCAUGUUUAGAUUAGUCUUACUUAUUUUUCUUCCAUGCAUUUUGAUUUCUUGUUCUUCCAGCAUCUAGUAGUUAGAUUUUUUACUCCUGUUUACUCACUUCUUUCUAGUUUAGUUGCUUAUCUGUGUUUUUCUUCUUUUGUUCCCUUUUUAUAUCUAUUUUCUUAAAAUCUCCCUUCUAGCUAUAAAACCCUUUCAAAACUUUCUUGUUUGAGUUCCAACGUUAAGAUAGUAUGGAAGCCGGCUUUGUCAGCGAUCUGAGAGGGAUAAGGUCUUAGGACCCGAUUCUCCCUCGGAGCAUAAUAUAACAGGACCCAUACUCUACUGACUCGUUGAUGUAUUUACUGUUGAAAUCAAGACGGCGCAUAGUCCCCUACCAGCAAUUUCAAGUAUAAAAAAUCUAGCACCCACCUUGGGCCCAUCAAGCUUCCCUUCCAUCUUAAAUAUUGAAACAAACUCUUGAACCGUUGUUUCAAAAGGCCUCUUUCAACGAAAAACUCAUCCCGGCUCAUCGUGAGCCCUUGCUUCUCUUCAUGGCCAGAAACCGCCAAAAGUUACCACAGGAAGUGUCAAAACUCCCCACGACAGAUUUUACCCAUCCCGGCUCACCCCGUGUACUUUUUGGAUGUUCAGAAGCCUAACGCCAUUGGCACUAUCGCUAGCUCCAUUGCCAUUGCCACCAGGUCUCCAGAGCUCUAAAAGAUCACUUCGCCCUUAGGGGCUUGCUAUUGGCCUUUCUCAAUCUUUUCUACUGAGUUUCAGAGAAAAGGGUUUGGUGUCAUUUGCAAUGUCGUCAGGACCCUGACCCCCUAAUCUUCGUUGUGACCGCUCGGGACCACAGAUCUUGGGUUUUAUUAUCGUUGGCGCCGGGAUUUUGUUGCCUGGAUCAACCUUCCUUUGUUGGUAGCGUAGCUUUUAUCGCUUUCCUUCUUUUUCAUGCCUCCCCCGCACCUUUGUUCGUGAGGGACCCUCUUCCCUCACCCCUAUCUUGUGCCUCGAGUAGCGUCAUACCCGACUCUAAGCGCGCUUGAGUCGACAUAAGUCGUACUCUCCUUUUGAACCGCACUUCGGACACCGAAGCACACAUUGGCUAGCACCAAGGUGCUUGGCGCUCAUUCAUUGCUAGGGUGCCUAGCCCUACAGUUUCAUUAUGCCUCGAUCUGGUUUGUCAUAGCGCAGCGCAUCCCACUGGGUGUGAUUAAAGUGCCUCGUGUUCAUUUUUGUUUGAGCACCAUUAUGAUUGGUUGACACACUCUUUCACGUGCACGUGUGCUGUUUGUCAUAUGUGCGUUAUUGCACUCGAUCUGACAAAGGUCAAACUUUCUCAAAUAUAGUUUUUGAAAAACCUAUAUCCGACCUUCAUAUUUUCGGAGUAGGCACCUAAUCCCUAUAGGAAGAGCAGUAUGGAUCGUGGGCCCUCAGCGGGAAUACCCUCUCCCUACACUUGGCCUCUAAGAGCACCCCACAAUACUUUGGACCCAUGGUGGCUUAUAGGAGUGGCCCGAACCAAAGGUGGGUGUACCCUGUUACCUGACCUCAUUUUUAAAAUUAGGUCUUUACCUAGGUAGUAUAUCUAAGCCUAGCCUUACCUACUAGUGGUUUAGAAGUACCCAUGUCUUUUCGCUUGAACUGUGUUCCUAAGUAGCGAGAUGUACUACAACCCAAGUAUGGUGGUAGAAGAGUCGGACACCGAGCUGACCACCAACUCAUACCGGAGGUCGGGUACAUCGAGCAGUCAUCCAUCGAGACAGAGUGCAGCUAUCAGCUUGUUGAUAUCCCAUGGGACUAUGGAGUUGAGCCUCGGUCUGGAUCUGUAGUUAGGUCACCUAGUCGUCAGUCUAGAGAUCAACUCAGUCACCGGUCCAGCUCUAGGGAUCAUCAGGUCUGUACCGCUUGAAGCACCCUAAACUGUCGAGGGAUUAGACUGGGUGCGAUUCUCCAGCAAGUUGCAGUGUUGCCCCUAUCCCGAUGCCAAUCUCAAGAUAGGAUUUGCGCUUUGAGUGGUGGUCAAUCUGGUGAUUUAAGCAUAGGUGAUCCUCCUAUACCAAUAGCACCCCGUCCACCCAGUAGAGAGCAUUCCACUAGGGUUAGUGCAACAUGAUCUUCUAAUGCUUGCAGUAGCAGUAGGGCUGACCAAGCUCCUCUUAGGGCCGCUCAACCUAGUAUUAGGUUAGCACCCAACCCUAGUGUGGCCCAGUUUCCACUAGGGAUCAACCAACUAGUGGUAGAUAAUCUUGUUGAUCAAAAUAGGAUAUCUCAAGCUGUUCUCCAAGCCAUGGGGAACCCUAGCCUAGGGCAUGCAGCAAACUUCUCGGUCGAACCUAACUUAGGGUCCCCUCAGUCUGGUCAAGCACAAUUCGAUCCGGGGAUAGUCCCGAGCCGAACUGCCUUGGACUCAUCAUAACAGUUUUACAAUCCUCAACCUAGGGAACUCCUCCUAUGGCACUUGUAUACCCACCACCACACUAGCUAACUCCUCUACAUCCAACUGGUCAACCUGCCACUUUAGGAAGUAACCCUUGGAUAUCAUACGCACCGGCAGACAUGAAAUACCAAUCUUUAGAGGGACAAAUGAAAAUUAUGCACGUUGUGCUUCAAAGAUUGGGGGUCGAUGAUCCCGCUCUCACCGAGCCUUAUGAUGAAUCUUACUUAGAUGGAUUCGCCAACCUACCUAUGAAUUUCUUACCCCCUGAAUUUCAAAAUCUCUUUGGUGGUAAAGGCGACCCAUGCCUUCACAUAACCAGCUACCUUUUUGCUAUACCAGCAAUCCAUGAUAGGCCGAUUGCCCUUAAAGCGAUGUUCGCCCACAGUUUCACAUGAGACGCCACUAUUUGGUUUAACGAGUUUGUGACAGACUACCCCGAGGUCACAUGCCGAGAAAUGUUCAAAAUAUGCCAUUGAGAGGGUUUUGCCAUAAGUGGAAGAAUCAAGAGACCGAUCAUAGAUCCUAAUCACCAUCGGAAGGAGGAGACUCGGUGUGGUGUAUUAAGCCCGAUUGAGGAGACCUGCAGUGGACGCACCCAAGCCCUGCCUAUGGAUAAAACUGAUUUGACUCGAGGAAAUGCCCUACUUCACUAAACGCUCGGUUUCGAGCAGGAAAAUGCCCCUCCUACUUCAAUGGGCGAAUUUCUGAAUAAACACGGUGUAUGUGUUAGUUUUUUUGGUUUUUAAUAUACCUCUGUUGGACUCAUUCAGAAACACAAAAAGCACAUACGGCCGCAGGGAUUUGAUAGAAGUUACACACAUUUUCCGAAUUCAAUUGCCUUUUAGUAGUUGA